UCAUGAUUGACCCGAGAGUGCCGAUGGGUUUUGGCCUGGCGCAAGCCAGGGCAUGCCCGCUAUUCGGAUAACCGUCGUAAUUCGAGAGCUAAGUACCGUGCUAAGAAGGGUUGCGGCGGGCGCUUGCGUGUGCCGUGGCCCUGUACUUUGUAGACACCUUUUAUGCCGUGGAAGUUUCCUGGUGAGUCAUACAAAUUUGGCGAAUCGAAGAGGCCCUUGCGGCCGUCGAUGACUCGGUCAAAUCUCUGCCCCAUCAAUUGGCGAUGGUAGGGUCUUGGCCUACCAUGGUUUUUACGGGUCACGGAUAAUGAUCGUUAGAUUCCGGAGAGGGCGCCUGAGAGAUGGCGACCACAUCCAAGGAAGGCAGCAGGCGCGAAAAUUACCCAAUCCCGACUCGGGGAGGUAGCGACAAGAAAUAACAAUACGGGGCGUUUUGCGCUACGUAAUUGGAAUGAGGACGGUGUAAAAAACCUACCGAAAGCCACUGGAGGGCAAGUCUGGUGCCAGCAGCCGCGGUAAUUCCAGCUCCAGAAGCGUAUAUUGAAAUUGUUGCAGUUAAAAAGCUCGUAGUCGAAGUUCAGGGGGAGUUCCCCGCGCCGCUCCGGGAAACCGGAGUUGUUUUGUGCGGGGCUCCGUCCUACGAAGCGUCCAAAGACGGGGUCGGACUCCGGCGCCUUGAUUGGCCUCGGGCCGGCCCGCUUAUCGGCUUUGGGCAUUAUACCUCGAAUAAAUGAGAGAGCUCAAAUCAGGCCGGACGGCCACUGAAUCCUCUAGCUUGGGAUGUUGGAACAGGACUAGUUGUCCGUGUACUUUCCAAUCGGUGCGGGGGGCGGCUCUGCUGCACCCCGCUACACGCGACUGGUAAUGAUUAAUAGGAACGGUUGGGGGCGUCGAUAUUCCGCAGCCAGAGGUGAAAUUCUUAGACUUGCGGAGGAUCAACAGAUGCGAAAGCGUUCGCCAAGGACGUUUUCAUUGAUCAAGAACGAAAGUUGGGGGAUCGAAGACGAUCAGAUACCGUCGUAGUCUCAACUGUAAACGAUGCCGACUGGGGGUCUGAACUUGACCAAUCGCGGGCACCGGGGCAACCCGGGUCCGUGAAAUGUCAGUUUGGGAACCCGCCUGGGAAACCGUGUAAGUUUUUGGGUUCCGGGGGGAGUAUAAUCGCAAGGUCGAAACUUAAAGAAAUUGACGGAAGGGCACCACCAGGCGUGGAGCUUGCGGCUUAAUUUGACCCAACACGGGAAAACUCACCAGGUCCAGACAGAGGAAGGAUUGACAGACUGAGCGCUCUUUCUUGAUUCUUUGGGUGGUGGUGCAUGGCCGUUCUUAGUUCGUGGAGUGAUUUGUCUGGUUGAUUCCGAUAACGAGCGAGACCUCUGCUUGCUAACUAGCCAGCCCUGCGGGC
rnacentral:rRNA from 1 species